rnacentral:rRNA from 1 species
CAGUCGCCGCGGGAAUACGUAGGGUGCGAGCGUUAAUCGGAAUUACUGGGCGUAAAGCGUGCGCAGGCGGUUUGUUAAGACGGAUGUGAAAUCCCCGGGCUCAACCUGGGAACUGCAUUCGUGACUGGCAAGCUAGAGUAUGGCAGAGGGGGGUGGAAUUCCACGUGUAGCAGUGAAAUGCGUAGAGAUGUGGAGGAACACCGAUGGCGAAGGCAGCCCCCUGGGCCAAUACUGACGCUCAUGCACGAAAGCGUGGGGAGCAAACAGGAUUAGAUACCCCCGUAGUCCCUGUCUCUUAUAC